AUGGGAUCUAUAAAGAAACAUCUGAGAUCCUCAAACAUUACAGGAGUCAUUUGUAAUAUCACAGAGCUUUGAUCAGUGCUACUGUAUUCUCAACUAGCAGACAUACAGUGCCUCCUGAUCACACAGACUUUUUUUCACUGUGGCACAUUGGCUCUUAAGAUGUGGGCGUAAUGACUGUUUAUGCUAACCGCAUAGUUUAGUCUUAGAGAACGCUGAGGAUGCUGCCAGAGGAAAUGGGUUUGGAUGUUAAAGAGCGAUAGACCGCAUACCCUGCUGUGUGUUUGAGUAGCUAGCUAGUCAUCCUAUGGAUAAUAUGGUUCACACAAACAACAGACAUAUGAGAAGCACGUACGGCACACACUAAAAUGGUGGUUUUGAUGGAGAUGAGAGGGGAAAUCAUUAUCAAAGUGUUGGAGAUGGGAGGGGAAAUCAUUAUCAAAGUGUUGGAGAUGGGAGGUGAAAUCAUUAUCAAAGUGUUGGAGAUGGGAGGUGAAAUCAUUAUCAAAGUGUUGGAGAUGGGAGGUUAAAUCAUUAUCAAAGUGAUGGAGAUGGGAGGUUAAAUCAUGAUCAAAUUGUUGGAGAUGGGAGGUGAAAUCAUUAUCAAAGUGAUGGAGAUGAGAGGUGAAAUCAUUAUCAAAGUGAUGGAGAUGGGAGGUUAAAUCAUUAUCAAAGUGAUGGAGAUGGGAGGUGAAAUCAUUAUCAAAGUGAUGGAGAUGGGAGAUUAAAUCAUUAUCAAAGUGAUGGAGAUGGGAGAUUAAAUCAUUAUCAAAGUGUUGGAGAUGGGAGGUGAAAUCAUUAUCAAAGUGAUGGAGAUGGGAGAUUAAAUCAUUAUCAAAGUGAUGGAGAUGGGAGGUUAAAUCAUUAUCAAAGUGAUGGAGAUGGGAGGUUAAAUCAUUAUCAAAGUGAUGGAGAUGGGAGGUUAAAUCAUUAUCAAAGUGAUGGAGAUGGGAG
rnacentral:lncRNA from 1 species